GUGACACUUUGUUGCCAUUUGCAGACUUUGUGUUACUUUAUUCUAUUUUAUUCAUUUAUCUGUCAACACUGAGGAAAUAUUUUCUCCUUGAUUGACUUUCUUUUUUGGUUUUCUUUCUUUGAUAUUUCAUUAUUCAGCAUCUGGACUAAAUAGAUUUUUCGGGCAAUUUAUCUGCCUAAUUUCCGGCAGUUACCACUGCAACUUGAAUCAGUACUGACAGAAAUUUCUUGGGUUGAUCCAUAUUAAUCUCUUUUGAGACUACUUCAUCACCGAAUCUUCCUAUUAUUCUGAUCAUUAUUUGAACCAGUACCUGCUUGCCUCCGGCUCCUCUUCCUCUAUAGGCUUGCAUCCAGGCUCUGUGCGGUGCAUGGUGUUCCUACCCGCAUGCAUAAGAGGAUUAUUUCCUCUUUUUCCCAUCCCUCCUUCCUUCCAUCUGGGAUCUUCCAUCUGGGAUUCUGAGCCAGUAACGGCUAACUAUUCAGGUUUUUCAGUCCAUUCUUUCAGGUAAAUAUUUUUGUCAAAGUCCACAGUUAUCACAGACACUCCAUUCACUCGAUUUUUGUCUAUUUAAACAAAUAUAUUCUUUUUAUGUUUUAUAACAAAUUAUGAUUAUGUCAACAUCUAUGGUCAAUCAGACAUUUUUGUAUGUACUGAUACAACAAAUUUAUGUGACUAUCUCUGUAUAUUAUUACAUAUUUUCUUCCGUUCAUUGAUAUAUUUUUUGUUUGCUCAGACUACUGCCCCCUAUUGGUUCCUGACGAAGCCCUCUUGGGCGAAA